rnacentral:lncRNA from 1 species
GGCGGAGCGCAUUGGAAGGUUCCAAAAUUGAAUUAGCAAAAAGUUUUAGCCUCCUGCAUUCGAUUCCCACCGUUUUGGGUUUUGGCGCGCACCGCAGGAAGGUCGUCACCUCUCCUGAGCGAGACUGAGGGCGUGUCACGCCACGAGACGAGUCGGAAAGCCCGCGAAAAAUUGAGGCGGGAAAACAGGAGACACGACGUAACCGAGAGAAAGACGGAAAUAAGGAGGUAG